ensembl:lncRNA
AAGUAAUUAAUUACUUUUGAAAAUAAGUAAUCAGUAAAGUAACGGGAUUAAUUUUGGGGGGAAGUAAUCAGUAAUUAGUUACUGAUUACUUUUUUCAAGUAACUUGACCAACACUGGUGCAGAGCCUUGGUGGCUUUUAUCUCAGCUUAUGUUGUCUGACAUAGUAUUACGGUACCACACUGUGAGAGCAGUGAACUGUUCAGACCCAUUCUUUCACAAAUACUUGCAAAGGCAGACUGCAUGGAUGCUUAAUUUUAUACACCUGUAGUCAUGGAACUGAAACACCUGAAUUCAUUGAGUCAGAGGUGUGGCCCAAUACUUUUGGCCAUAUAGCAGCGUAUUUAACAAUGUUGGAUUGCUUGUUUGUAACAGACUAACUUGGUAACUUUAUUGCAGGAAACAUAUCCGGUCGUUAAGUGAUGACGUGACGAAUUCUACUUCUGGGCCUAAAGUAGUCUGCGUUUAAUAUGGCUUUUGUGUUGUUAACUUGUUUAAUGUUUUGUAUUUUCUUCUAUUUAAUCUCAAAAAGCUCCUAAAACAGUCAGUGAUCACUGUUGACCUCCCUCGGCUUUUAUUACCGCUAAUCUACAGCCCAGCCCAUGCAGCAGUAUAUGAAUGACUAACCUCAUAUUGUGGAUGGAUUAUCUCAGUUGUUCUCCUGGCUGAAGUUUGGUCCUUUUACAGCAUCCUGCCAUGCGAUUACAUUUGUUCCUGACCACCGAGAACACUCACGUUAACUUUUAUCGAGUGGAAAAAAGUUAGCUUGUAUAUAUUAUGCUAACAUAGCUGUGUCACUAGCGGUCAUGUAGCACAGCAUUAUAUACCAGCUAGCCAAACUUCAGUAACCCUACAAACGUCACUGCUGUUUAGUUUUCUGUCUUCAUUUAUGUUGGAAGUGAUAACAGAACUGUACGUUUUAAUUUGUUUCCAAAGCCCCGCAGUCAGGACAUGCUAUAUUGUAUCUAGAUAGAAGCUAGUGAGCUAACUUCCUGCUAACUUCUAACUCCGUUAAAUAUCAUAAAUUAGAUUUUAUUUAUUCUUGUGUGGCAGC